rnacentral:rRNA from 1 species
AGAGUUUGAUCCUGGCUCAGGAUGAACGCUAGCGGCAGGCUUAAUACAUGCAAGUCGAGGGGCAACAGGGGUAGCAAUACCUGCUGGCGACCGGCAAACGGGUGCGGAACACGUACAGAACCUUCCUUUAAGCGGGGGAUAGCCCAUAGAAAUGUGGAUUAAUACCCCAUAGUAAUAUUAGUUGGCAUCAAUUGAUAUUUAAAGAUUUAUCACUUAAAGAUGGCUGUGCGGCUGAUUAGGUAGUUGGUCGGGGUAACGGCCCACCAAGCCAACGAUCAGUAACUGGUGUGAGAGCACGACCAGUCACACGGGCACUGAGACACGGGCCCGACUCCUACGGGAGGCAGCAGUGGGGAAUUUUGGACAAUGGAGGCAACUCUGAACCAGCCAUGCCGCGUGAAGGAUGAAGGUCCUCUGGAUUGUAGACUUCUUUUAUGUGGGAAGAAAUGCAUUCUUUAUAGAGUGUUUGACGGUACCAUAGGAAUAAGCACCGGCUAACUCCGUGCCAGCAGCCGCGGUAAUACGGAGGGUGCGAGCGUUAUCCGGAUUCACUGGGUUUAAAGGGUGCGUAGGUGGGGAAGUAAGUCAGUGGUGAAAUCUCCGUGCUUAACAUGGAAACUGCCAUUGAUACUAUUUUUCUUGAAUUUUCCGGAGGUUAGCGGAAUAUGUCAUGUAGCGGUGAAAUGCUUAGAUAUGACAUAGAACACCAAUUGCGAAGGCAGCUAACUACAGGGAUAUUGACACUGAGGCACGAAAGCGUGGGGAUCAAACAGGAUUAGAUACCCCCGUAGUCC